UACAGAGGUGGCAAGCGUUGUUCGGAAUUACUGGGCGUAAAGGGCGCGUAGGCGGCUUGGUCAGUCCCGUGUGAAAUCCCUCGGCUCAACUGAGGAACUGCACGGGAAACUGCCUGGCUUGAGUUCGGGAGAGGGAAGCGGAAUUCCGGGUGUAGCGGUGAAAUGCGUAGAUAUCAGGAGGAACACCAAUUGCGAAGGCAGCUCGCUGGGACGUGACUGACGCUGAGACGCGAAAGCGUGGGGAGCAAACAGG
rnacentral:rRNA from 1 species